CCGAAGUGCAAAUUUGGAGCAGCACCCAAGAAGGGUGCCGGGGCUUCUCCCGU
rnacentral:tRNA from 1 species